rnacentral:rRNA from 1 species
UACGUAGGGCGCGAGCGUUGUCCGGAAUUAUUGGGCGUAAAGAGCUCGUAGGCGGCUUGUCACGUCGGGUGUGAAAGACCGGGGCUUAACUCCGGUUCUGCAUUCGAUACGGGCUAGCUAGAGUGUGGUAGGGGAGAUCGGAAUUCCUGGUGUAGCGGUGAAAUGCGCAGAUAUCAGGAGGAACACCGGUGGCGAAGGCGGUGGUCUGGGCCGGAACUGACGCUGAGGAGCGAAAGCGUGGGGAGCGAACAGG